rnacentral:rRNA from 1 species
UACGAAGGGGGCUAGCGUUGCUCGGAAUCACUGGGCGUAAAGCGCACGUAGGCGGAUUGCUAAGUCAGGGGUGAAAUCCUGGAGCUCAACUCCAGAACUGCCUUUGAUACUGGCGAUCUCGAGUCCGGAAGAGGUAAGUGGAACUGCGAGUGUAGAGGUGAAAUUCGUAGAUAUUCGCAAGAACACCAGUGGCGAAGGCGGCUUACUGGUCCGGUACUGACGCUGAGGUGCGAAAGCGUGGGGAGCAAACAGG